rnacentral:rRNA from 1 species
CCUACGGGGUGCAGCAGUGGGGGAUAUUGCACAAUGGGGGAAACCCUGAUGCAGCGACGCCGCGUGGGUGAAGAAGCGCCUCGGCGCGUAAAGCCCUGUCAGCAGGGAAGAAAAUGACGGUACCUGAAGAAGAAGCCCCGGCUAACUACGUGCCAGCAGCCGCGGUAAUACGUAGGGGGCAAGCGUUAUCCGGAUUUACUGGGUGUAAAGGGGGCGCAGACGGCGAUGCAAGCCAGGAGUGAAAGCCCGGGGCCCAACCCCGGGACUGCUCUUGGAACUGCGGGGCUAGAGUGCAGGAGGGGCAGGCGGAAUUCCUGGUGUAGCGGUGAAAUGCGUAGAUAUCAGGAGGAACACCGGUGGCGAAGGCGGCCUGCUGGACUGCAACUGACGUUGCGGCCCGAAAGCGUGGGGAGCAAACAGGAUUAGAUACCCUAGUAGUC